UCAAUGGUGAGCUUGAAACACCGUCCCCUAGCACUCACUAGUGGGGUUGCUAAACGGAAAUCGCUAAUUGCUUGGCAAGAGGAGAGAAGGAAGUUUGCUGGAUUGUGAUUGGCUACAUUCUCGUUCAAUGGAUCCAACCCAAUUUCAUUUGAACAAUCAAACCAUUCAGAACUGGGUUUCAAUCGAUACCGCCUUCAAAAUCGCCUCCUUGCUUCAGGGUAGUUGCUCUCGGUUUUGGCGGGAGCUUUGGGGGUCUGAUCAUAUAUGGGUCGGUUUAUGCAGAGAUAGAUGGCCAACCCUAGGUUUCGAUAUAGAACAAUCUUCUUCUGUUCCUUAAUUCAAUUCCCAGCAACUUCAGCAACAUCAUUUGGACUCCAAUUUGAAGGUAUAUCCUUCCAAUUGAACAACUGAUGUGACCGUGUAUUAUAAAAAGAUGAAUGCACGACAUAACUGUUACAUAUUUGGAUUUGGAUUAGGAUUUGGAUUUCUAUCUAUCAGGAUAGAUUAAAAAUGGAUUUCUGACUUUAGUUGGCUGCCGCAUCAAUAGGGUAUCAUCCAUAUGAACAAGUCAUUAGAAAUAAUUGUUAAAUAAGUAACAAAUUAGUAAUAAUAAAAAAGGCUUGUAAUAUUUUUUAUCAAAUGUAAGCAGAAACUUGUGGUGAUUAUCAAAGUUUUGAUUUUUGUAAACUUUUACGAGUCUGAUGAUCGGUUGAACAAUGGGAUGAAGUUAGUCCUGAAUUACUCAAAAAGACUAAUUUUCAACAAACUCCAAGUUCACCAGUCACCUCCAUGUAAGGCACAAUAUAUGUCUGAACUUGAGUGAAAAGUUCAAAGUCUACAAACAGAAGCAACCAUCCUUUCAGCACAAUUGACUCUCUUUUAGGUGAUUGUUUAUAUAAACACACACAGACACAGACCAUGAAUAUUGUCAAAUUAUAUAACCUGGUUUUUGUAAACAUGUUUAUUAUACAGAGGGAUACAACUGGCAUGUCCUCUGAAUAGUGAAAUGAUCUGUCGAAUACAAAAUUGCCAAUUGUCGUCCAUAUCAUAUCAUUAUUCGUAUUUCAAAAGUCUAAUGUGUAAAGUAUUCUUUUGAAGGCAUCGGUCCUUUGGUUAUUUUUAUUUCCAUAUUUUUAUAUCCAUUUUAAUUAUCUCGAGGUAUGAUGUUAAGAGAAUUGUUAUCGAAUUGUAAUUUAGUCGGUUAUAAAAACUGAUAUUUUCUAAACAAUUCUUUGUAUGUGUAAAGUAUUCUUUGAAUGUAUUAGGAGAUAGGAACCUACACAUUGUAUCUCUGUUUUAUUUUUAUUAUUUUAUAUUACUUAUACUUGUUGGAUUUCUACAUUUUGUAAAUUGUUAUGAACUUAUUAAAUGAAAAAAAUGAUUAUUUUUAUUACUUUAUCUUAUUAAUUGUUUGUGGUUUUAAAAAAACUUGUUUAAUAUUUAUGCAAAAAAAAUGUUUCUAGAUUAAGAUACAAUAACUUAAUUAAAUUAAAAAAAAAAUAAAUAGAGUGCUGUGAAUGUUACCAUUCCCUCCCAAAUACUAAGGUUAAAUGCUAAAUUGUUAAAAAUGAUGUGGCACGCUUUUAAAAAAAAAAAAAAUGCGGACACCAUACCCUCUCUUCGGAGGUGUUUGGUUUAGCUUUUUAAGAGCCAAAAGAUCUUUUUGGAAAAGUUGCAAAAAGUCAGAUUUUCCUGACUUUUCCAAAAAGUUGAUUUUUCUUCUAUAAAAAAAAAUCCAAAAGUUUUAAAAUUGUUUUGCCUAAACAUUUGUUUUGCUUAGCUUCUAUCUUUUUCGAUCUUUUCCUUCUCAAAAACUAAGCCAAACACCCCCUUCUUCUCGUCACUCUCCCUUCUCAAUCGAAGUUUCAAAUACCCUCAGCAAAUACGAGUUCAAAGGAGAACCCCAACGUCAACGUAACCGGUAACCCUAUUGCAUCCGUCGCUUCCCAGUUCUCAUCAACAUCGCUCCAAUUAAGAACCAGAUCAUCUUUUUGGAAACAAUAUGUACUGAUCCAUAGAUUAUUGAAAGAAACAUUCGCCUCAAGAUUCAACAAUCUCCAGAUUAUGCAGAAAAGUAAUCUUGGUGGUUAUCUUCCUGGGAGGAUUGUGUUUUUCUUGGCAUGCCACUGAAGUUAUCCUCAUCAUUUUCCCGUUUCUCACAAAGAAAUGUUAUUUUUUGUAAUUUUAACUUGAGUAAAUUCUGUCUUGAUUACUUUAAUAUGUGUUUUUGUUGUUGUUUAGAUAUGGACAAGCACAUUGCAAAGAACAAUUUUGACAGCAAAUUCAUUUCCAUUACAAGUGCAUCGAAAGCAAUUGAUAUCCUGGAAGCAUAUGAAGGGACUCUUGAGGAUGAUUAUCCUCCAGAAAACGAACGUUGCUAGCAUGGGGAAAUGUUGUUAUACAAGAUAUCUUUAUUGGAGGAAUGUGGGCUUCUAGAGAAAGCAAUAAAGGAGUUGCGAAAAAUAGAGUUCAAGAUUGUUGAUAGAUUAUCCUACAAGGAAGCGGAGGUUUGAUUCCAAAAUUAUUUGAUCCUUUUUUAAGAUACUACGAAGGAUUACAAAAAUGUGUUGGAAUACACUCGAAGACUGAUCAAUAUUCCCUGUAUCUUAAAUGGACUACUAUGAGAUGGAGUACAAAGUCUGUUGAUUAGUUGUAAUUUUAAAUUAUGUCUCUUUCAGCAUAUCAGGCCUCUCUUAACGAAGGGAGUCCCAUCACUGCUCUCUGGCCUCUCUCCUCUGUAUGAUCAUCCUGGAAAGGUGUGUGCCUAAUUAAAGGUUUUAAUACUUUCAUGGUUUGGAAGAGUCACUUAAAAAGAUAGGUGGAUACCCUUGGAAGAUCAGAAAAAGAGCCACCUUCAACGCUUAUGUGGGCAUUAUUUUAUUUGGCUCAGAUGUUAGAGAUCCAAAGACGGGCAAGGUUAUAAAGGUCAAUGUUGUUCUGUGUUGCUGCUGCUGUUGCUGAUUUGUGCUGUUGUUGAUUUGUGAAGUUGUUUUUGCUGUUACUAUUGCUGUUUUUGCUCUUAUGAAUUACAAUUUCAUUCUCCUGUUGCUAUUUUAUAGUUUAGUUUGUAGUUUGUUAUUUGCUCUUGCUAUUGUGUUAUUUAAAAGUGUGAAAUGUUUUUAAUAGCUUGUUAUUUAAAAGAUCAAAUUUUUGUAAAUGUUUUGGUUUCA